rnacentral:rRNA from 1 species
AGCAGCCACGGUAAUUCCAGCUCCAAUAGCGUAUAUUAAAGUUGUUGCAGUUAAAAAGCUCGUAGUUGAACUUCAGGCCUGGCUGGACGGUCCGCCCUCUGGGUGAGCACUGUCUGUGGUCGGGUCCUACCUCCUGGCGAAGCGGCAUGGCCUUAACCGGCCGUGGCGGGGAACCAGGACUUUUACUGUGAAAAAAUUGAGUGUUCAAAGCAGGCACGCGCUUGAAUACAUUAGCAUGGAAUAAUGGAAUAGGACAAUGGUUCUAUUUGUUGGUUUCUAGGACCGUUGUAAUGAUUAAUAGGGAUAGUUGGGGGCAUUAGUAUUCAAUUGUCAGAGGUGAAAUUCUUGGAUUUAUUGAAGACUAACUACUGCGAAAGCAAUUUGCCAAGGAUGUUUUCAUUAAUCAAGAACGAAAGUUAGGGAUCGAAGACGAUCAGAUACCGUCGUAGUCUUAACCAUAAACUAUGACCGACUAGGAAUCGGGCGAGUGUUGAACAAAUGAACGCGCUCGGCUACCG